rnacentral:rRNA from 1 species
CGAACGCUGGCGGCGUGCUUCACACAUGCAAGUCGAACGGAAAGGCCCUGCUUGCAGGGUACUCGAGUGGCGAACGGGUGAGUAACACGUGGGUGAUCUGCCCUGCACUUCGGGAUAAGCCUGGGAAACUGGGUCUAAUACCGGAUAGGAGCCAUUUUUAGUGUGAUGGUUGGAAAGUUUUUUCGGUGUAGGAUGAGCUCGCGGCCUAUCAGCUUGUUGGUGGGGUAAUGGCCUACCAAGGCGGCGACGGGUAGCCGGCCUGAGAGGGUGGACGGCCACAUUGGGACUGAGAUACGGCCCAGACUCCUACGGGAGGCAGCAGUGGGGAAUAUUGCACAAUGGGCGCAAGCCUGAUGCAGCGACGCCGCGUGGGGGAUGACGGCCUUCGGGUUGUAAACUCCUUUCGCUAGGGACGAAGCUUUUUGUGACGGUACCUAGAUAAGAAGCACCGGCUAACUACGUG